rnacentral:SRP_RNA from 2 species
AUUUAGAGCCGUCACAUCAUUACGGUCGAAUCAUGUCAGGCCAGAAAUGGAGCAGCAUUAAGACUAUUUAAUGAGUGUGAUGGUUUUUUAUUGCAUA